AGGCCUCCUCACUCUCUCCCUGGCCUGGGAGUCGGGGUCUCAGAGAAACACCUAGCCAAGGCCAGUGUUUCUGCAGGGGUGGGUCAACUGUACAGGGGGCCUGCAACAGCAAAUCACCAGCUUUCUCUGAAACACACACACCCCUCUGCCUGCCUGUUCCUGAUUUAAUCAUCAGAGUGUGCUGCCCGGGACCAACCUGAGGGGUCGAAUGUCAUCACAGCUCUGACCCGCCCUUGUUAUAGGCAGCACGCCCGUCUUCUUCCAGUGACACCAUUUGCAUCCCAAGAACAGGACUACUCUCUGGACUUCUGCCCUCUUUUGUGCCAUGUGGAGUGCUCCUCAGUAAUACUGGGUGACUCACUUGAGUGACCUUUAUGCCCUUUAAUGUGUCUGAUAUUUCCCUGCUCAGAGUCGCAUUCUGUGACUGGCCAGGCCAGCUCUUGGAAUUGUUAACGAUGACAUUUUUUCCUGUUUCAUCAAUGCACCAAGCGUCUUCUUAUUUCUGGAUGGGUUCCAUUCCUCAUGCUCAAAUCCCUUCUGUGAGGCUUUCACAGGGCUGGAUCAUUUCCAUCCAUUGGUCUUACUUGGUUCUGGUGUUGAACUUUCUCACAGGCACCUUCCAUGACUGCCUGUGUCACUUGAGGGCAGUAAUAGAAAAAUCAACUCAAACUGGCUUAAAUAGGAUGCAAAUCUAGUGGCUCACAUAUGUGGCAGCAGAGGCAGUGAGAGUUUCAGGACCAGGCAGCUUGAUUACAGCAUCAAGGGCCCCUGUGUUCUCUGUUUUCUGCAGCCAUAGUGUUGGCUUCUUCCCAAGACUUAUUUUUCCCAUCAGUGUCACCUGUGCUACAAGCUCCUUCAGUCACAUCUAUUUUUGAUAUUUGUGGGUACCUAGGAGGUGCAUAUAUUUGUGGGAUACAUGAGAUACUCUGACACAGAUGUGCAGUGUGCACGGAUCACAGGGAAAUGGGGCAGCCAUCCAUCCCUUCAAGCAUUCAUGAUUUCUUUGUGUUGUGAACAUUCCCGUUGUGCUCUCUUAGUUAUUCUGAAUGUACAAGAAAUUAUUGCUGACUAUAGUCACCCUGUCGUGCUAUCAAAUACUAGACCUCAUUCGUGGUAUCUAACUAUAUUUUGUACCCAUUAACCAUCCCCAUCUCCCACCCCCUACCUUUCCCACUAUCCAUCCCAGCCUCUGGUAACCAUCCUUCGUCUAUCUCCACGAGUUCAAUUGAAUUAAUUUUUAGCUCCCACAAAUUAUAUAGAAUAUGUGAACUGUGUCUUUUUGUGCCUGGCUUAUUUCACUUAAUAUAAUGUUUAAUAGGGAAGCAAACAUGGCUUCUUGUUCUUUCUUAAGAAUGAGAAAAAAACUUUCCCCAAAGUCUUUGGCAAUGCACUGCUGGUAUGUCACUGGCUCACUCCUGGGGUGGUCACUGUCUACAUAAUGGGACCACCUUUAACACAAUGAGGCACAGCCCCCAAGCUGACUUGAGCUACCCACACUGCCCUGAUGCUACUCAAAGAGGGAGUGGUGGGAUGGAUGUGGAGGCAGCAGCUUCAGCAUCUCUCUCCAGGGGUUCUCAGACACCUCCCAUCAGAGCUACCUGGGGAGAUUCAAAGCCCCCAAGCUUCUCCCCAGCCAGUCAGGUCAGAUCUUUUUGGGCAGGGGCCUAGCCCAGUGGUUCGCCAGCUUGGCUGCACCUUAGAAGCACCUGGGGCCUUUAACCAAACCACUCCCCAACCCCAGAUAUUCUGAUUUUAUUAAUGUCUAUUUGAUGUGACUUUUGAUAUAAUCUAAUUUAUCAAGUUUUUUAUCACUGUAUUCUUUGUGUUGUAUAUAAUAAAUCAUUAGAUAUAAGUA
rnacentral:lncRNA from 1 species